CCUACGGGAGGCAGCAGUGGGGAAUUUUGGACAAUGGGCGCAAGCCUGAUCCAGCAAUGCCGCGUGCAGGAUGAAGGCCUUCGGGUUGUAAACUGCUUUUGUACGGAACGAAACGGUCUGCCCUAAUACGGUGGGCUAAUGACGGUACCGUAAGAAUAAGCACCGGCUAACUACGUGCCAGCAGCCGCGGUAAUACGUAGGGUGCGAGCGUUAAUCGGAAUUACUGGGCGUAAAGCGUGCGCAGGCGGUUAUAUAAGACAGAUGUGAAAUCCCCGGGCUCAACCUGGGACCUGCAUUUGUGACUGUAUAGCUAGAGUACGGUAGAGGGGGAUGGAAUUCCGCGUGUAGCAGUGAAAUGCGUAGAUAUGCGGAGGAACACCGAUGGCGAAGGCAAUCCCCUGGACCUGUACUGACGCUCAUGCACGAAAGCGUGGGGAGCAAACAGGAUUAGAUACCCUGGUAGUCCACGCCCUAAACGAUGUCAACUGGUUGUUGGGUCUUCACUGCUCAGUAACGAAGCUAACGCGUGAAGUUGACCGCCUGGGGAUCGGCCGCAAGGUUGAAACUCAAAGGAUUGACGGCNGAGAGNGCGACGGACGACGACGAGGGAGGAGG
rnacentral:rRNA from 1 species